AAAACAAUGAAGAGUUUGAUCCUGGCUCAGAACGAACGCUGGUGGAGUGUUUUAUACAUGCAAGUCGAGCGAGGACAGUAGCAAUACUGAGCCGAGCGGCGAACGGGUGAGUAACACGUAAGCA
rnacentral:rRNA from 1 species